rnacentral:rRNA from 1 species
AGGACGAACGCUGGCGGCGUGCCUAAUACAUGCAAGUCGAACGAACUGUGGAAAGCUUGCUUUCAGAGUUAGUGGCGAACGGGUGAGUAACACGUAAGUAACCUAGCUAUUAGACGAGGAUAACUACUGGAAACGGUAGCUAAGACUGGAUAUGAUAGAAAUAUUUAAAGGAUGCUAAGGCAUCGCUAAUAGAGGGGCUUGCGGCGCAUUAGCUAGUUGGUAGGGUAAAGCCAACCAAGGCGAUGAUGCGUAGCCGACCUGAGAGGGUGACCGGCCACACUGGGACUGAGACACGGCCCAGACUCCUACGGGAGGCAGCAGUAGGGAAUCUUCGGCAAUGGACGGAAGUCUGACCGAGCAACGCCGCGUGAAGUGAAGAAAGUUUUCGGAUUGUAAAGCUCUGUUAUUAGGGAAGAAAGGCUCUAGGAGGAAAUGCUUAGGGAUUGACGGUACCUAAUGAGGAAGCCACGGCUAACUACGUGCCAGCAGCUGC